GCGGGUGUCGUAUAAUGGCCAUUACCUCAGCUUCCCAAGCUGAUGACGAGGGUUCGAUUCCCUUCACCCGCUCCA
rnacentral:tRNA from 3 species